CCACCACCAUGGAAAACACCUGAGCCGUCCUGCUGGAGAGGUCCCGUGGAAGUGCACUGAGGCUCCCUGGCCUAGAGCCGAGGAAGGGAAGCAUGGAAGAGAUGGUGCUUAUGUUCACCUGCUGCUACCAAAUGCUGACAUUCGCUCGGACUGAAACAUUAUCCCAGAGGUGUGUUGUGGUAAAGUGGUUCUCAAACAUCUUGGGAGGUGUAAACCUCUUCACACGGGCUCAAGACAUCUCCAGACCAAUUUCCUUCACCCUCCAAAAUCAUAAAUAGAGGCCAUUACAAAUCUCAUCCCCUGAAUGGAUGGGGAGAACAGCACAGAUGGGUGAGCCACAGUGAGAGACGCUAUAAGGAAGUUACUAACCAAAACCCAUUCGGACAGUGUCCUGUUGACUUCUGAAUGUGUCCGGGUCCAGGCAGGAAACAGACGACCCACACAAAUUGGGUCAUUUGAGAAUUUAAUAAAAGAACUUGCAUCUC